UUGGCUCGGAUUGGUCUCGCGGCCCUGCCAACGACGCUGACGCGGGGCGGGUUCCCGGCCCGGGCGCGCGGCGCGCCGCCUGCCGAGGCUCCUCCCGCGGUGGCGGCCGACCGGGAGACCCUCGGCCGGUGCUCAGCCAGCUACACUUGCGGCUCCGGCGGGCACCGGCAGGCCCGCGGGGCUCUGGGCGCGUCUUGGGUGCACGUCCUCGACGGCGUGAGCCUCGGUGGCCGGGGUCCGGCCGCGGCGCGCCCGUCUCCUAGAUACAUUCCAUGAGGGCAAGGAGAUUGUCUGCUGUGUUCAGGACGGUUUUUCCAGUACCUGGCACCUGGUAAUCCUAGAGGCCCAGGUGACCCUCAGACUGGCAGAAUGAGUGACUGGCUCAAGAUUUUUGACCAAAACGUGCUGGUCCCUCCCCACCCACAGAGAGCACGCCAGCCUUUAAAGGAAUCGACGGCAUUUCAGUGUGUCCUGAAGUGGCUUGAUGGGCCACUAAUUAAGCAGGGAGUGCUGGAGGUGCUUUCGGAGGUGGGCUGCCAUCUGCGUGUGUCUCUCUUUGAUGUCACCUACCGACACUUUUUCGGGAGGACGUGGAAGACUGCGGUGAGGCCGGUGGAGCAGCUGUCCAGGCAGCCGUCCAGGAUCGUCUUCGAUGAGGUGGGCCAUGGUGGCGGGUGGGGCUGCUCUGUGGCCCAGAGCAGAGGUGCAGGGGAUACUGCUAGGGUCACGACCCGUGCAUCUUGGACCCGAGGAACGCCACAGAGCAGCAGAUGGGCUAUUGCCAAGGUUGUGUUAGCACUGGGGCACUUCAUCUCCAGACAAAACCUGCGUGGAAACCGAAUGUCCCGAACAGAUGAGAGCGCGUGGCUCUGUCGAAACGGUAAGGCAGGGGCACUUGGGGGUCUUCUCACCUUCAAGGAACCUUGGGUUCUUGGAACAAAGUUAGGAAAUUAUUGAUCUCAUCUGGCUCCCCUGUUUCCCCUUACCGUCCUUAUUCCCCUUCUUUCAUUUUGGCUUCUUUCUUUGUCUUAAAGAUGAGCAAUUGAAAAAUGAAGGUGACUUGCCCAGGUAGCAGGCGGCAGAGCCUGGACUCGAACCCAUGCCUCUGUUUCCUCACUGCAUGGUUGCAUUGGCAUUGCUUUCUACCAGUUGGUUGUCUCUGGCCUCAUGCAGGUCGGUGUUUUCUGUCUUGGUUCAGCUGCACCAAAUACCAGCCUCUGUUCGGCCCUGGGGCUGGGUGGCGGGGGUGGAGGUGGACUGCAUGGGCAUGGUAGGAUGGGGGGACACGCAAAGGCAGGUGACAGAGUCAUUGCAAGUUGUGGUUAGCUUGGAAGGAGACCAGUGCAUUGCUGUCCCUGGGGGCGAACGGGGAGACCUGCCGCAGGAAGGCAAAGAAGGUCCCUUCACUGUGAACAUUGCAGCCGAACCUGCAGGAGGAAGAGGCUAGUCCCGUGAAGAGCUGUGAGCGGACCAGGGCUCACACGCGCGCAGGCUGCACGGGUGUGGCGCAGGGGCAAGAGCCCAGGGCUGGGCUGGGCUUCCAAACAGUUUGGGUCUGCUUGAUUGACGGGCACAGGUCUGGAGAGGACUGAGGCCCCGUUGACUUGGUCUUUCUCGUGUGUAGAGUGGGGCCGGAGGGAUAGGUAGUGCCGUGAAUAAUGGAGGUGGCGGUGACCACAGCCGUUCUUGGAGGUGUCACUGCAUGAACCAGAGCCCAAGGUGGCCCUUUCCUGCUGGGGACUGUCCCGGCCCAGUCAUGAUGCCGCCGGGGGCCGGCGGAGCAUGUUCUGCUCUCUGCAUUUGGCUGU